rnacentral:rRNA from 1 species
UACGUAGGCAGCGAGCGUUGUUCGGAAUUACUGGGCGUAAAGAGUGUGUAGGCGGUGCUCUAAGUUCGGUGUGAAAUCUCCCGGCUUAACUGGGAGGGUGCGCCGGAAACUGGAGUGCUCGAGCGUGGGAGAGGAAAGCGGAAUUCCUGGUGUAGCGGUGAAAUGCGUAGAUAUCAGGAGGAACACCUGCGGUGUAGACGGCUUUCUGGACCAUUGCUGACGCUGAGACACGAAAGCUAGGGGAGCAAACAGG